rnacentral:misc_RNA from 1 species
AACAAAGUCCUUGCGAUAAGUGUCAGAUGUUAUUAUGACACCUCUGUGUACUUUGACGGACAGUCAGUGCAGAUGUUUUGCUGGGAAAGGUCCAGCUGCCCAACCCAAGCAUAUUGUUGCUCUACUUUUGGAAACGACACAAAGAGUUUAAGGGGAAGAAAUCAUACUCCCUAGUACAUGUAUCUACUCAAGAACUGCAGUCAUUCCAUGGUGGCCCUAUUUCUGAACCCCUCUUGAAGUUCAAGAUUCGGAUUCCUGAGAUCAAAAUACAUGAGGAUAGCGUGGGGAACCCUUGAAAAAAAAAUCUCUCCUCUCAUCUCAGAUUUUGAGAAAAUUCCAAGGCUAUAGGCUUACUGUUUUUUUCGGCAAAAAAGUAAAGCAUUUGCUAGAAUAAUUCUAGGACGCUUUUUCUACGUGAAAAAGCGUAUCGAACAAGAGGCCGUCAAUGAAAUUGAGCUGGC